rnacentral:rRNA from 1 species
UACGGAGGGUGCGAGCGUUGUCCGGAAUCACUGGGCGUAAAGGGCGCGUAGGCGGCUGGAGGAGUCCGUGGUGAAAGCUCGUGGCUCAACUGCGAGUCGGCCAAGGAUACUCUUCAGCUCGAGCACUGUAGAGGCAGAUGGAAUUCCGGGUGUAGCGGUGGAAUGCGUAGAGAUCCGGAAGAACACCGGUGGCGAAGGCGGUCUGCUGGGCAGUGACCGAAAGGUCUGAAAGCUGACGCUGAGGCGCGACAGCGUGGGGAGCAAACAGG